CGCCGCUCACACCCUCGUCCUUCAGGAUUACCCUUCUCCUCAUAUUUAGAUCAUGGCAGAACAGUUUAAAUCCACCCCCAGGGCUCUUGGCCUUACUUCUCUUCCGCUUGGUUUCCUGCACACACAAAAAUAUAUCUAGCUUCUUUUUCUUCUUUAUCAGUCAUAGUCCCAGAUUUAGUGUCCCCACUGUCCCUUUCCUUCUUGUCUUCGGCCAACAGUUUCAAUCAGCACCCUGCUGGCCAAUAGCACUGGAGGUGGAUGCUGUUAACCUGGGCCCCGACUGAUCCGCUCCAUCUUCUCCAUCUUCAGCACCUCCGUCUGCGCAUGUCCAAACCAUCUCAGCUUUGACCGCUCGCCUCGGGCUGAUGUACUCAUUUACCUCAGCGUUGAAUCUUUUGGGCGGUGCCACUGUCUCCAAACUUUUUUUUUUUUUUUUAGGUUUUUUUGUGUGUUUGUUGUUGUUGAAAAUGUCUGGUGUGUAAUUUAUUUUAUGUACGUUGUAGUUUAUUAGGAAGAGAAGGUGACUCUGGCAGAUGCUUUGGAACGAAACACUGGCUCAGUUUCAUUCAGCAGGGAUCCCUGCACUCUGUCAAAACAAUGACAUGCAUUGUUUUCAGUGACAUGUGUUACUGCUACUGUAGACGUGAUUUUUUUUUUUUAUCAUAAUUUGUGUCAAGUAAGUUUUGGGUUGCCACCAAGAAAAAGCUGUAAUUAUUUCACCUCCUCCCUGAUGGAAACUCAAAACCUUUUGCUAAGCAUUAAAAAAAUAUAUAUUAUUAGAGUUUUAUAAGUUUUUCAAGUUUCUAGUACCAAGUUUCUGGAAGUUGUCAUUAUUUAAAAUUGCACCUGCAAGUUUCCUGGUGAUUUGUCGUGUUUUGUAUAUAAUGGCUCGCUCCAAACAGGAUCCUGACUGUGUGCAAAAGCUGCGAGCAUGCUGGAUUCUCAGCUGGUAGAUUCUCUCAGGCUCAUUCAUUGUGCAGCAAGAUGAAAACAUCGAUCCAGGACCACACGACUGAUUUC
ensembl:lncRNA